UCCCCAAUGUCCCCAAUGUCCCCGUGUCCCCAAUGUCCCCAUGUCCCCCCCAUGUCCCCAAUGUCCCCAUGUCCCUGUGUCCCCCCAAUAUCCCCAAUGUCCCCGUGUCCCCCCGAUGUCCCCAAUGUCCCCAAUGUCCCGGUGUCCCCAGGCUGCUGGGGCUGUGGCGCGUGCUGAGCUUUGCGGUGUCGGAGUGGCUCGGGGACAUUCGGCGCCACCAACUGCCGGGGCUGCUGGGGGGGGUGGCGCCCGUCAGCGCCGCGCUGCGCCUCUGUGAGUGCCCCCCCCCGCGUGGCCCCAAAAUGGCCCCAACUGGCCCCAAAUGGCCCCAACUGUCCCCAACUGGCCCCAAAUGGCCCCAAAUGGCCCCAACGUGUCCCCAAAUGGCCCCAACUGUCCCCAAAUGUCCCCAACUGUCCCCAAAUGGCCCCAAAUGGCCCCAAAUGGCCCCAAAUGGCCCCAACGUGUCCCCAACUGUCCCCAAAUGUCCCCAAAUGUCCCCAACGUGUCCCCAAGGUGUCCCCAAAGAGGCCCCAAAGCAUCCCCAGCAUGUCCCAAAACUGUCCCCAAGGUGUCCCCAAAGUGGCCUCAAGGUGGUCCCAAAAUGGCCCCAAGGUCUCCCGAAAGAGUCCCCAAAAUGUCCCCAAAGUGUCCCCAUCCUGUCCCCAUGGUGUCCCCAGCAUGUCCCCAACAUGUCCCCAAAGAGUCCCCAAAACAUCCCCAGUGUGUCCCAAAACUGUCCCCAAAGUGGCCUCAAGGUGGGCCCAAAAUGGCCCCAAGGUGUCCCCAAAGAGUCCCCAAAAUGUCCCCAACCUGUCCCUGAUACGUCCCCAAAGUGUCCCCAAUUUGCCCCCAACCUGUCCCCAACGUGUCCCCAAAGUGUCCCCAGCAUGUCCCCAACUAGUCCCCAAAAUAUCCCCAAGGUGUCCCCAAAACAUCCCCAGCAUGUCCCCAACCUGUCCCCAACCUGUCCCCAACGUGUCCCCAGGGUGUCCCCAAAGAGUCCCCAAAACAUCCCCAAAGAGUCCCCAGCCUGUCCCCAAAAUGUCCCCAAUUUGUCCCCAAAGUCUCCCUGAUGUGUCCCCAAAGCACCCCAAGG
rnacentral:lncRNA from 1 species